CCCUUAGAUGUUCUGGGCCGCACGCGCGCUACACUGAUGCAUUCAACGAGUCUAAAACCUGCUCUGAUAGGGGUGGGUAAUCUUUUGAAUGUGCAUCGUGAUUGGGAUAGAUGAUUGCAAUUUUUCAUCUUCAACGAGGAAUGCCUAGUAAACGCAAGUCAUCAGCUUGCAUUGAUUACGUCCCUGCCCUUUGUACACACCGCCCGUCGCACCUACCGAUGGUUUUUAAUGUGAAAAUUUCUGACUGCUUGAUGUCAUGCUUUUGUGUAUGGUAUUGGAGUUGAAUGUGAUUUGAAUUUUAAAAAUUAGAGGAAGGUGAAGUCGUAACA
rnacentral:rRNA from 1 species